rnacentral:rRNA from 1 species
UUCCGGUUGAUCCCGCCGGAGGCGACCGCUUUGGGAGUUCGAUUAAGCCAUGCGAGUCGUGAGUCUUAGGGACUCGGCAUACUGCUCAGUAACACGUGGGUAACCUGCCCUAUCGUCUGGAAUAACCUCGGGAAACUGAGAAUAAGGCCGGAUAGUUCACAAUGCCUGGAACGGUUUGUGAAUCAAGGUAGGAUGGGUCUGCGGCGUAUCAGGUUGUAGGGGGUGUAAAGGACCCCCUAGCCUUCGACGCGUACGGGUGUUGGGAGACAUAGCCCGGAGAUGGAUUCUGAGACACGAAUCCAGACCCUACGGGGUGCAGCAGGCGCGAAAACUUCACACUGCAGGAAACUGUGAUGAGGGAACUCCUAGUGCAUGCACUAUGUGUAUGUAGAUCCUACUCUUAACAAGUAGAGGGAAAGGGCUGGGAAAGACCGGUGCCAGCCGCCGCGGUAAUACCGGCAGCUCAAGUGGUCGUCGCUUUUAUUGGGCCUAAAACGUCCGUAGCCUGUUUGGUAAAUCUGUGGGUAAAUCAAUCCGCUCAACGGAUUGAAUUCUGCAGAGACUGCCAGACUAGGGACCGGGAGAGGUGUGGGGUACUCGAGGGGUAGGGGUAAAAUCCUGUCAUCCUUCGAGGACCACCAGUUGCGAAGGCGCCACACUGGAACGGAUCCGACGGUCAGGGACGAAGCCUAGGGGCACGAACCGGAUUAGAUACCCGGGUAGUCCUAGGUGUAAACGCUGUGAACUUGGUGUCGGGGGUCCGCAAGGGGUCCCCGGUGCCGGAGUGAAGAUGUUAAGUUCGCUGCCUGGGGAGUACGGUCGCAAGGCUGAAACUUGAAGGAAUUGGCGGGGCAGCAC